UACAGAGGUCUCAAGCGUUGUUCGGAUUCAUUGGGCGUAAAGGGUGCGUAGGUGGCGGGGCAAGUCAGGUGUGAAAUCUCGGGGCUCAACCCCGAAACUGCACUUGAUACUGCCUUGCUCGAGUACUGGAGAGGAGACUGGAAUUUACGGUGUAGCAGUGAAAUGCGUAGAUAUCAAGUGGAACACCAGUGGCGAAGGCGAGUCCCUGGACAACUUCUGACGCUGAGGCACGAAAGCUAGGGGAGCAAACAGG
rnacentral:rRNA from 1 species